rnacentral:rRNA from 1 species
CGGACGGGUGAGUAACGCGUGAGAAUCUAGCUUCAGGUCUGGGACAACCACUGGAAACGGUGGCUAAUACCGGAUGUGCCGGAAGGUGAAAGGCUUGCUGCCUGAAGAUGAGCUCGCGUCCGAUUAGCUAGUAGGUGGGGUAAGAGCCUACCUAGGCGACGAUCGGUAGCUGGUCUGAGAGGAUGACCAGCCACACUGGGACUGAGACACGGCCCAGACUCCUACGGGAGGCAGCAGUGGGGAAUUUUCCGCAAUGGGCGAAAGCCUGACGGAGCAAUACCGCGUGAGGGAGGAAGGCUCUUGGGUUGUAAACCUCUUUUCUCAGGGAAGAACACAAUGACGGUACCUGAGGAAUCAGCAUCGGCUAACUCCGUGCCAGCAGCCGCGGUAAUACGGAGGAUGCAAGCGUUAUCCGGAAUGAUUGGGCGUAAAGCGUCCGCAGGUGGCUGUGUAAGUCUGCUGUCAAAGAGCAAAGCUCAACUUUGUAAAGGCAGUGGAAACUACACGGCUAGAGUGCGUUCGGGGCAGAGGGAAUUCCUGGUGUAGCGGUGAAAUGCGUAGAGAUCAGGAAGAACACCGGUGGCGAAGGCGCUCUGUCUAGGCCGCAACUGACA